GAUGAACGCUGGCGGCGUGCCUAAUACAUGCAAGUCGAGCGAACGGACGAGAAGCUUGCUUUUCUGAUGUUAGCGGCGGACGGGUGAGUAACACGUGGAUAACCUACCUAUAAGACUGGGAUAACUUCGGGAAACCGGAGCUAAUACCGGAUAAUAUUUUGAACCGCAUGGUUCAAAAGUGAAAGACGGUCUUGCUGUCACUUAUGGAUGGAUCCGCGCUGCAUUAGCUAGUUGGUAAGGUAACGGCUUACCAAGGCAACGAUGCAUAGCCGACCUGAGAGGGUGAUCGGCCACACUGGAACUGAGACACGGUCCAGACUCCUACGGGAGGCAGCAGUAGGGAAUCUUCCGCAAUGGGCGAAAGCCUGACGGAGCAACGCCGCGUGAGUGAUGAAGGUCUUCGGAUCGUAAAACUCUGUUAUUAGGGAAGAACAUAUGUGUAAGUAACUGUGCACAUCUUGACGGUACCUAAUCAGAAAGCCACGGCUAACUACGU
rnacentral:rRNA from 1 species